rnacentral:rRNA from 1 species
AACGAACGCUGGCGGCAGGCUUAACACAUGCAAGUCGAGCGCCCCGCAAGGGGAGCGGCAGACGGGUGAGUAACGCGUGGGAACGUACCUUUUGGUUCGGAACAACUCCGGGAAACUGGAGCUAAUACCGGAUAAGCCCUAACGGGGAAAGAUUUAUCGCCGAAAGAUCGGCCCGCGUCUGAUUAGCUAGUUGGUGAGGUAACGGCUCACCAAGGCGACGAUCAGUAGCUGGUCUGAGAGGAUGAUCAGCCACACUGGGACUGAGACACGGCCCAGACUCCUACGGGAGGCAGCAGUGGGGAAUAUUGGACAAUGGGCGCAAGCCUGAUCCAGUCAUGCCGCGUGAGUGAUGAAGGCCUUAGGGUUGUAAAGCUCUUUUGUCCGGGAAGAUAAUGACUGUACCGGAAGAAUAAGCCCCGGCUAACUUCGUG